AGAGCAGAGUCCGUAGAUGGUUGU
rnacentral:siRNA from 1 species